UAGGGAAUCUUCGGCAAUGGACGAAAGUCUGACCGAGCAACGCCGCGGGAGUGAAGAAGGGUUUCGGAUCGUAAAACUCUGUUGUUAGAGAAGAACAAGGACGUUAGUAACUGAACGUCCCCUGACGGUAUCUAACCAGAAAGCCACGGCUAACUACGUGCCAGCAGCCGCGGUAAUACGUAGGUGGCAAGCGUUGUCCGGAUUUAUUGGGCGUAAAGCGAGCGCAGGCGGUUUCUUAAGUCUGAUGUGAAAGCCCCCGGCUCAACCGGGGAGGGUCAUUGGAAACUGGGAGACUUGAGUGCAGAAGAGGAGAGUGGAAUUCCAUGUGUAGCGGUGAAAUGCGUAGAUAUAUGGAGGAACACCAGUGGCGAAGGCGGCUCUCUGGUCUGUAACUGACGCUGAGGCUCGAAAGCGUGGGGAGCAAACAGG
rnacentral:rRNA from 1 species